GGUUCAAGGGAUGAAAGACGGUUUCGGCUGUCACUUACAGAUGGACCCGCGGCGCAUUAGCUAGUUGGUGAGGUAACGGCUCACCAAGGCGACGAUGCGUAGCCGACCUGAGAGGGUGAUCGGCCACACUGGGACUGAGACACGGCCCAGACUCCUACGGGAGGCAGCAGUAGGGAAUCUUCCGCAAUGGACGAAAGUCUGACGGAGCAACGCCGCGUGAGUGAUGAAGGUUUUCGGAUCGUAAAGCUCUGUUGUUAGGGAAGAACAAGUGCAAGAGUAACUGCUUGCACCUUGACGGUACCUAACCAGAAAGCCACGGCUAACUACGUGCCAKCAGCCGCGGUAAUACGUAGGUGGCAAGCGUUGUCCGGAAUUAUUGGGCGUAAAGGGCUCGCAGGCGGUUUCUUAAGUCUGAUGUGAAAGCCCCCGGCUCAACCGGGGAGGGUCAUUGGAAACUGGGAAACUUGAGUGCAGAAGAGGAGAGUGGAAUUCCACGUGUAGCGGUGAAAUGCGUAGAGAUGUGGAGGAACACCAGUGGCGAAGGCGACUCUCUGGUCUGUAACUGACGCUGAGGAGCGAAAGCGUGGGGAGCGAACAGGAUUAGAUACCCUGGUAGUCCACGCCGUAAACGAUGAGUGCUAAGUGUUAGGGGGUUUCCGCCCCUUAGUGCUGCAGCUAACGCAUUAAGCACUCCGCCUGGGGAGUACGGUCGCAAGACUGAAACUCAAAGGAAUUGACGGGGGCCCGCACAAGCGGUGGAGCAUGUGGUUUAAUUCAAGCACGCGAAGAACUUACCAGGUCUUGACAUCCUCUGACAACCCUAGAGAUAGGGCUUUCCCUUCGGGGACAGAGUGACAGGUGGUGCAUGGUUGUCGUCAGCUCGUGUCGUGAGAUGUUGGGUUAAGUCCCGCAACGAGCGCAACCCUUGAUCUUAGUUGCCAGCAUUUAGUUGGGCACUCUAAGGUGACUGCCGGUGACAAACCGGAGGAAGGUGGGGAUGACGUCAAAUCAUCAUGCCCCUUAUGACCUGGGCUACACACGUGCUACAAUGGACAGAACAAAGGGCUGCGAGACCGCAAGGUUUAGCCAAUCCCACAAAUCUGUUCUCAGUUCGGAUCGCAGUCUGGCUCAAUAAGUCGUAACAAGGUAACCAUAGUGUUUGAUCCUCGCUAAGGGAGUCGUAACAAGGUCACCAUAGAGUUUGAUCCUCGCACUUAAAGUCGUAACAAGGUAACCAUAGAGUUUG
rnacentral:rRNA from 1 species